GAUGAACGCUGGCGGCGUGCCUAAUACAUGCAAGUCGAGCGAACGGACGAGAAGCUUGCUUCUCUGAUGUUAGCGGCGGACGGGUGAGUAACACGUGGAUAACCUACCUAUAAGACUGGGAUAACUUCGGGAAACCGGAGCUAAUACCGGAUAAUAUUUUGAACCGCAUGGUUCAAAAGUGGAAGACGGUCUUGCUGUCACUUAUAGAUGGAUCCGCGCUGCAUUAGCUAGUUGGUAAGGUAACGGCUUACCAAGGCAACGAUGCAUAGCCGACCUGAGAGGGUGAUCGGCGACACUGGAAGUGGGACACGGUCCAGACUCCUACGGGAGGCAGCAGUAGGGAAUCUUCCGCAGUGGGCGAAAGCCUGACGGAGCAACGCCGCGUGAGCGAUGAAGGUCUUCGGAUCGUAAAACUCUGUUAUUAGGGAAGAACAUAUGUGUAAGUAACUGUGCACAUCUUGACGGUACCUAAUCAGAAAGCCACGGCUAACUACGUG
rnacentral:rRNA from 1 species